AUGAAGUGAAUACUCUUGUCUUUCCUGGAUUUUAUUUAAGAAUAUUUGUGAAAAUUUCUGUUAUUUUGGAAAUUGUUUAAGGAUUUUGUUUUAAAAACUUUUAUCAGGACUUCUAUUGUUCUGAAAUUAUGUUGGAAUUUAUGUUUCUGCACAAUAGGUUUAUCGUUAUAUACGAAUCAGACUAAUAUUUAUUAAUGAAUUUUCUACUGGUUACGUCCUGACUUUGGCAUAAUAUUUUUC
rnacentral:lncRNA from 1 species